ACUGCGUUAAUCUUACCCGUCUGUAACCGGUUCUCCGUUACCGACCUUGUUAAGUCUCAAACAAAACAGCGACUCUUCCCGUUCAAUCAUCUUCCAAUAUUUCCUGAAUCGCCGUCUCUCCCGAAGGCCGAUGGGGUAUUUUUGUUCAUCAAUCUCCGACGCCGAGUUGUUCUUGGGAUCCGAUCGAUGUAUACAAUCGAGGGGGCGUAGGAACAUUGCUGAUCAAGAUGGCUAUCACCAGAACACAUCAGGAUUUGGUUGAUAUGUGUUCUUCGAAUGAGUAUUUACUUCGGUAUCUUUGCCCGACAAGUGCCAAGAAGGGAACAAGUUAAUAUCAAGCAGGAUUCUUGACUUUUCCAGCAUGGUGCUCUAACCAAGCCAAAAUAUGUGUUGAAGAGAAACACUCAGGUAAAGCCCCCUGAAUCAUUUAGCUGUAUAAAUAGCAUUUUAGAAGUCCACAUAAAAUAGCAUUUCAACUAAUUAAUCAUGUAAUAAAAUGUUAAUAACAGCAAGCAUUGGUACCACUAUCAACAUGAAAGCCAAUGAAAAAUAAAAGUCAAAAGUGCUUUCUAAACCAUAAGUACUGGCUCUUAAAUUCCUCACAUUCUACUCACAAAGAUAUAUGCUUCCUAGAUAAAUGCUUCCCAUGCACCACCUAUCAACAGUUCAAAAUGAGGCACCAUAUUAUAAUACAGCCUAGUACAAGCUUUGCCAGUCAACUUUUAUAAUAUGUAUGUCAUCUUAAAACUCAAGGGUGUGCAUUAAAAUUAAGUCAAAAUUUCUUAUCUUGUUGAAGAAAAGGAUAGCUGCGUGGGAUAAAUGGAAGAUAGGGAAACUUGAACAUUGUUCCAUGAUUUCCAAAUGGUUUACAAAUAAAUCAAAGUCACCCCUAUAAUUAUAAUCCUCUACCUCCAUUUCUUUUCAUUUUAGUCUCGAUUUCCUUAGCCGUUCAUCAUCUCACCGUGCAUGUCUGGAUCAAAUUGUCUCAUUCUAUUGGUGACUCUUGUCUUUGUUUCAAUCACCUGCAGUUUGCUGACGGUAUAUUGUUCUUUUCUAGUUUUGACUUCAAAACCUUGGAUAAUCUUUUUGAUAUUAUCACGAUAUUUCAAUUUUCCUCUGGACUAAAAAUUAACUUUGCCAAGAGCGAGUUUUUGGGAACUCAUAUUGACAAAUCAGAAAUGGGCCGUUUGAUGGUGAAAUUUGGUUGCAAGUGGGGUCUUUGCUUUGGCCUUCUAUAUAUCUUGGGCUGUUGUUAUUGAGAGAGUCAAGCAUUGCAAUUUAGCUCUCUAAACAAAAUAGAUUUUAGGUUCUUACAUAAGGAUAAUGUUCUUUGGCAUAAACUCACUGUUGCUAAAUAUCAUUCUUCCAAGGUAGAAUUGUCAUUUGGCCUAAGACAGUUCAAGGAGGUUCUACAAAUCAACUUGGCAGUUCUUUUGUUUCACCAUUGGUCUUGUUGCUAGUCUUGUUCAGAUGUCUUGGUAAUGGUUAGUCAACAUUUUGGCAUCAUUCUUGGCUAACUUGAGGGUCCUUGUUAUGGUCCUCCUCGCCUCUAUCGGUUAUCUACUCAACCUACUUCGAUUGCAGAAGUGUGGAUUGUUUCUUAUGCUGCAUGGGACUUGCCUUCAACACAAUUUAAAUGAGUGACCAAGUUCUUAUUUUCUCUACUAGCAAACGUUUUUCACUAUGACUUCGGCAACAUUAAAUUUAUUCGUCAUUGAAAAAUUAACGAGCGAAAACUACGCUUCAUGGAAAAACACGAUCAACACAAUUCUAAUAAUUGAUGACUUUCGUUUCGUCAUGAUGGAGGACUGUUCUCCCAUUCCAGCUCCCAAUGCUUCUUGAAAUGUUCGAGAAACAUACGAGCGUUGGACACAGGCAAACGAAAAGGCCUAAGCAUAUAUCUUGGCUAGUCUUUCUGAAGUCUUGGCCAAGAAGCAUGAGCUCAUGCUUACAACCCGUGAGAUCAUGGAGUCCCUGAAAGGAAUGUUUGGACAACCGUCUGCACAGCUUAGGCAUGACGCUCUCAAACACAUUUUUAAUGCUCGUAUACAAGAAGGGGUAUCUAUUCGAGAACAUGUUCUCAACAUGAUGGUUUACUUCAACAUGACAGAGAUGAAUGAGUACGUCAUCGAUGAAGUCAGUCGGGUUAGCUUCAUUUUGGAAUCUUUACCUGAAAGUUUCUUUCACUUCCUUAGCAAUGUUGUUUUGAACAGGAUUGACUAUAACCUAACCAUCCUCCUUAACGAGCUAUAGACCAUUUAGUCCUUGAUGAAAAGUAAAGGACAAAAGGGUGAAGCAAAUGUUGUUUCAUCCUAAGUUCCACAAAGGUUCGACUUCUAGGACUAAGUUUGUACCUUCUUU